rnacentral:rRNA from 1 species
CAGUGCCGCGGGAAUACGUAGGUGGCAAGCGUUGUCCGGAAUUAUUGGGCGUAAAGGGCUCGCAGGCGGUUUCUUAAGUCUGAUGUGAAAGCCCCCGGCUCAACCGGGGAGGGUCAUUGGAAACUGGGAAACUUGAGUGCAGAAGAGGAGAGUGGAAUUCCACGUGUAGCGGUGAAAUGCGUAGAGAUGUGGAGGAACACCAGUGGCGAAGGCGACUCUCUGGUCUGUAACUGACGCUGAGGAGCGAAAGCGUGGGGAGCGAACAGGAUUAGAUACCCCUGUAGUCCCUGUCUCUUAUACA